UCCGUUAUGGUCUAGGUAAGCUCAAUCACCACUUCCAUUUCAACAACAAUCACUAACAAGCAUCAAGUGGCUAGGAUACAUCGCUCUCAUUAGCAAGUGCCGAUGUGGCCGGGGUUCGAUUCCCCGUGACGGAA